rnacentral:rRNA from 1 species
UGUGGAUUAGGCAUGCAAGUCGAACGAGAAUCCAUCGAUUCAAUCUUUCGGGAGAGAAACGGUGGAGGAGAGUGGCGAAAGGGUGAGUAACGCGUGAGCAAUCUGCCCUUGAGUCUGGAAUAACCUACCGAAAGGUGGGCUAAUGCCGGAUGUGGUUCCCCGUUUCAAUUCGGGGUAAUUAAAGGUGGGGAUCCUUCGGGACCUGCCGCUCGAGGAGGGGCUCGCGUCCUAUCAGCUUGUUGGUGAGGUAAUGGCUCACCAAGGCUUACGGGUAGCUGGUCUGAGAGGAUGGUCAGCCACACUGGGACUGAGACACUGCCCAGACUCCUACGGGAGGCUGCAGUCGAGAAUCAUUCGCAAUGCGCGAAAGCGUGACGAUGCGACGCUGCGUGGAGGAUGACGGCCUUCGGGUUGUAAACUCCUGUCAUCCGGGAGCAACCACCCCUGUGUCAAUACCACAGGGGCCUGAUAGUACCGGAAGAGGAAGCCACGGCUAACUCUGUGCCAGCAGCCGCGGUAACACAGAGGUGGCGAGCGUUGUUCGGAUUUACUGGGCGUAAAGGGUGAGUAGGUGGACUCGUAUGUCGGAUGUGAAAUGUCACCGUUCAACGGUGAAAGGUCGUUCGAAACUGCGAGUCUAGAGUGCAGGAGAGGAAAGCGGAAUUCUUGGUGUAGCGGUGGAAUGCGUUGAUAUCAAGAGGAACACCGGUGGCGAAGGCGGCUUUCUGGAAUGCUACUGACGCUGAGUCACGAAAGUUGGGGGAGUGAACAGGAUUAGAUACCCUGGUAAUCCCAACCGUAAACGUUGUCCACUUGGUGUGGGGAGAUUUGACCCUCCCCGUGCCGGAGCUAACGCGUUAAGUGGACCGCCUGGGGAGUACGGCCGCAAGGCUAAAACUCAAAGAAAUUGACGGGGGCCCGCACAAGCGGAGGAGCAUGUGGCUUAAUUCGAUGCAACGCGAAGAACCUUACCAGGGCUUGACAUGUAGCUGCACGCCCGCCGAAAGGUGGGAAGCCUUCGAGGGUGCUACACAGGUGCUGCAUGGCUGUCGUCAGUUCGUGCCGUGAGGUGUUGGGUUAAGUCCCGCAACGAACGCAACCCCUGUGUUUAGUUGCCACUUUCGGUGAUGAGCCGAGAAGCACUCUAAACAGACCGCCCGUGCAAGCGGGAGGAAGGUGGGGAUGACGUCAAGUCCGUAUGGCCUUUAUGCCCUGGGCUGCACACGUGCUACAAUGGCUGGUACAAUGGGACGCAAGACCGCGAGGUGGAGCAAAUCCCCAAAACCAGCCCCAGUUCGGAUUGGAGUCUGCAAUUCGACUCCAUGAAGUUGGAUUCGCUAGUAACGGCGUAUCAGCUACGACGCCGUGAAUACGUUCCCGGGCCUUGUACACACCGCCCGUCACAUCACAAAAGCUUUCUGCACCCGAAGUCGCUAUACCAGCCAUUUAUUUGGAGGAAGGCGCCGAAGGUGUGGGGAGUGAUUGGGAUGAAGUCGUAACAAGGUA